rnacentral:rRNA from 1 species
GAGUUUGAUCCUGGCUCAGAAUGAACGCUGGCGGCGUGUUUAAGACAUGCAAGUCGCACGGAGAAAUGAAGGUAUUUAUAUUUUUGUUUUUCAGUGGCGCACGGGUGAGUAACACGUGAAUUACAUGCCCUUGAGAGGGGGAUAGCCCGGGGAAACCCGGAUUAAUACCCCAUAGUAUCGCAAGAUUAAAGGUGGCCAGCAAUGGCUGUCGCUCAAGGAUUGGUUCGCGCCCUAUCAGCUUGUUGGUGAGGUAACGGCUCACCAAGGCUACGACGGGUACCUGGUCUGAGAGGAC